CGUACACAAAAAUGCACAUAUUGUGAGCUCGAUGAGUAGGGCGGGACACGUGGUAUCCUGUCUGAAUAUGGGGGGACCAUCCUCCAAGGCUAAAUACUCCUGACUGACCGAUAGUGAACCAGUACCGUGAGGGAAAGGCGAAAAGAACCCCGGCGAGGGGAGUGAAAAAGAACCUGAAACCGUGUACGUACAAGCAGUGGGAGCCUCUUAAUGGGGUGACUGCGUACCUUUUGUAUAAUGGGUCAGCGACUUAUAUUCUGUAGCAAGGUUAACCGAAUAGGGGAGCCGAAGGGAAACCGAGUCUUAACUGGGCGUUAAGUUGCAGGGUAUAGACCCGAAACCCGGUGAUCUAGCCAUGGGCAGGUUGAAGGUUGGGUAACACUAACUGGAGGACCGAACCGACUAAUGUUGAAAAAUUAGCGGAUGACUUGUGGCUGGGGGUGAAAGGCCAAUCAAACCGGGAGAUAGCUGGUUCUCCCCGAAAGCUAUUUAGGUAGCGCCUCGUGAAUUCAUCUCCGGGGGUAGAGCACUGUUUCGGCAAGGGGGUCAUCCCGACUUACCAACCCGAUGCAAACUGCGAAUACCGGAGAAUGUUAUCACGGGAGACACACGGCGGGUGCUAACGUCCGUCGUGAAGAGGGAAACAACCCAGACCGCCAGCUAAGGUCCCAAAGUCAUGGUUAAGUGGGAAACGAUGUGGGAAGGCCCAGACAGCCAGGAUGUUGGCUUAGAAGCAGCCAUCAUUUAAAGAAAGCGUAAUAGCUCACUGGUCGAGUCGGCCUGCGCGGAAGAUGUAACGGGGCUAAACCAUGCACCGAAGCUGCGGCAGCGACGCUUAUGCGUUGUUGGGUA
rnacentral:rRNA from 1 species